rnacentral:lncRNA from 1 species
UUGCACCACUGCACUCCAGCCUGGGCGAUACAGUGAGACCCAGUCUCAAAAAAAAAAAAAAAAGAGUCUUUUUUGAUGGUGGACAUCUUCCAAUGAGCAUUCACAUGGGACAGAUUUUUUUUUAGUUCUACCGUUGUUCUGAAAGCUCUAUGUAUGUUCCUCUUCCCUAAAAAUCUUUGUCACCAAGCCUCCAGAUUUAUUCCUUCUAAAAUGUUGAAAUUCCAGCUAAUUCCUUAGUUGUUACCCAGGAAACAAUGCAGAUCCUGGUCCGAGGAUGCAGCUCCUUCCAGGCAGCCUGGACUGUGAGGUGUGCUCCAUUGCUCUUCAGGAACCGUCCUUGAGAGGCGUUCCACAGCAGGCCAGACCUGGGGGGAGCAGGUGGGCCAGGCGGAAAGCACAGCACAAUUUGAGAGAUGCUGAGUACUCAUGACUCUGUGUAAGCACCUGAAUUCAGCCCUCAUGGUCUUUUCUGAGCUGUCAGUCAUUUAUCUCUAUUUAGUCAUUUUGCGAAUUGGAGUUAGCUUCCUUCCCUCUACACUCAAAGACGGCAUGUCAACAUUUUAGGCCUCUGGGUGGAAUGAACUCCCAGUUUCCUGGGAGGGAGCUGAUUGGCAUCUAUUCGCCUCUUCCUAGUUUUGUGGGGUUUCCCAGCAUGUGGAGUCAUAGAGAAAGACUGGUCCCACCUUCUAUGUAAUGCCCAAGAGAAUAGAUGACUCUCUGUCCACCCCCACCCUGGCAUCCAGGGCUUCUGGACAAGACCUAGGCUGGCUAAUUGGCUGCUUCCACAUGGGAUCCUGAAUCUGGAGCAAGUGAGGCAAAGCCCAGGGUGCUUAGAAUCCAUUCUCAGUGAGAGCAGCAGGACUGCCCGGGAGGGGAAUAGAGACGGGGACGACCGAGUCCUGCACCAGCAGAGAUGACGUCCGCAGGUGGCGGGGCAGCGCUGUGGCCGUGUCACUCCUCACAAAGCAGGGCUCUUGUGCUCGCAGCCUUCGAUACCGUCUCACUGUCUUGGCUUCUAUUUAUCUUCCAAGCCAAUUUCCAGCCUCCUACACACGUGGGGUUCUUCUGGUAUCAUUCCAGUGAAUUUCAUGUUGUUUUCUGCCCUAAGAAAACAGAGUUGGUACCUCUGCUCGACCAAGAAGCCUGAUUGAUACAGACUGAGAGCUGCAGGCUGUGUUUAUUUGCUUCAUUAACAAGAACAACUUAGGAAUGGCAACUUCCAUUGAUGAGCUUCCUACUUUGUUCUGCGGUUGGAAAACAAACAGUUGUUUCCCUGUUGACGACUGGCCACACUGGAGAGGUGAACAGUUCACUCUCAAGGCCAUACUGACUUGAACACUGGCUGUCUAGAAACAGAGAGGCAGGCAGCGGCAGACAGGAAGAGAGAUGGAGCAGAGUCCUCCAGCGGGAGCUGCACCUCGGAAGCAUCCUUAGAUGCGGCUUGGAGUUGGGAUCCUUCAAUUCCCCUCAGGAGAGUCAGCCAAAAAUAUCAACAGCCACAAUUUAUUGGACGCCUUCAGGAGAAAUGUCAAAGGCCUUUGUCCAAAGUGAGUGGUCCUGCUUCAUGUCCCAGCAUUCCUUGUCCCCUUUCCACAAGCUGAGAGCAGGUGCUCCCCAGAAUGAGGGGGGUGAGAAGGGUUCACUAUUGCUCUGUCCACCUCUCAACACAAAACAUGAUUCUACCUGUACCAAUUAUCCUGAGGCUUUGUGGUCUGCAACCAACCCUUUGGUGCCAAUUUUUCUAUUAGGUAGGACCCUUUGGAUGCAAGUAGAACAUAGCAAAGCAAAACCAAGACAAAAGCAAAUGCAAAAACAAAAACAAAUGAAAAAUCUUAAAAAAUCUUCCCGCUACCUCAAGAGUGGAGGCAUAUAUUUGAAUGAUCCAGAGAGAAAGCUCACAGAAUUAAAGAAAUCCUUGGGUGGGUGGGCGUGCGUGCACAUUUUUUAAAAACAGGCUUAGGGAAGACCAGGGACCCAGAAAGCCUCAGGGCUCUCAGCGGUAGGGAACGAGCUACACUCAAGGCCUCAGCUCCACUGCCUGCUGCCUCCAAGGGUUUUCUUUCAGGUCCUCCAAUUUCCAGGGGAGAGACUCAGAUGGGUCCCGGGGGCUAGAGGACAGAGUAAAGAAGGCACUGUCACACCAGGGGGAUGUGAGCUGAGCAGGCAGGCCCCCUAACCUGGGCCUUUUCGGAAGCCCCCUCCUCAUCCCCGUGGGAGCAGUGGGGGAAAGGGGCCUCUGCCCCCUGCCCACCUCCCUUACUAGUGUCUCCCUAGCUGCUCCCUGCAGAGCCUAGGCUCUGCAGUCAUGGGGUCCGCAUUGUCCUGGUGGGUGGAGUGCCUGAGCCUCAAAAGCCCCACCUGUGCUUUUCACUCCCUACUGCAUGAUUGAGAAGCAGACCUACUUCGCGAUUGAGAAGCAGAUUAAGGCUUUCCCCUUCCCCAUCAAGGUAUCUUUUUUUCUUCCUUCUUUCUUCCUCAGACCCCAUCUGGUGUCCCUUCUCUCCUCCUCUCCCGCUCCAUUCACCUGCCCUCUGUCUCAGGUCUCUCUACCAGCGUCUGGCAGCUGGGGAGGCUGGUGGGCUGCCCUGGUCCCAUGGCUGAUUGGAAAAAUCCUGUGGCUCCAGGGAGCCGGCUUUUUAGAUGCUGGUGGGGAGGAGCCUCACCUCGCUUCCAGGCCUGCGUUUCACCCCAGGACUCAUUAGGAGAAUUUCUGCACCAGGGUUAGAAGAGAAUUCAUCGCAUGUUUUCCCUACUGUAAUAAGCGAGACCCUUCUUUCUUUCCUUGUGCCUGGCGACCACAGCAGGAAGGCAGGAAGGUGCCUGCAGAUUCCCAGGAACAAAGCUGCUCCCAGAACCCUCACAUAGUAGGGUGACUCUUAGGAUAAGAAAUGUAUAUCCACGGGCUAGGAUUUGGGAACCAAGGGACGACGUGGCAAUCCAGGGCUCGUAGUGAGGGUGCAGCAGCCAGGACUGGGGCAAAGACAGAUGUCUGAUGAUUGUAAAAUGAGAUGAUUUCUAUUCAGUUCAGUUCUAUGUGAGGCUGUACUCAAAAGAGGUGAUGUUGUUAUUCAGGCUUCCUAAUCUUUGGUGAGUAAAACAAUUGUUGAUUCCCACAGCUUGUUUUCUUCUUGCCAGCUUUCUCCCAUCGUGUGAUAGACCAAAACCUUGAACUGGAAAAUCUCUGUGGUGUUCUACAAGAGCUAGGGACCCUUAGGUGUGAGAUUUGGAGACUUUCAAUGGUUAGACUUGGCCUAAGCAGCAAUAGAUCAGUCACCCCAAAUUCUCUCCUUUGUCUUCUUUUAAUGUCGUCCUCCAUCAAGGAAGGAACCAGAUUGGGGCCAACCUUUCAGACGGAUGUCCAUGGGAUGCUCGAGCUGCCUUUCCCCAACAAGUGGUGUCAACAGGGAUCUGGAGAGGUCGUGUGCUGGCCUCCAGGGGGUACCCCAGGGAACGGUGGGAUGUGAGAGUGACAGACCAGGAGGAUGGGGGCCUUUAUCAGUCAAGUGCUGUUCUGUCCCCACCAUCCUUUAGCUGGUGAAUAAUCUCAGGGGGAUUAUUAAAAGCCCAGAAGCAAAGAAGCAUUUGAAAGGUCCGUAUCUAGGAGUCUGGUUUCUCAGAGGAUCAGGGAGGGAUAAGAUUGGCUAAAAGACAGAUUUGGGACUUACUAUCAGAAAAGAAUCACUAGGAAAAUCUAAUAUUGGUACAUGGAAAAGCAACAUGUGGAUUGAAUGAUGGGAUUUCCUGUGAAGAAAAGGUAAGGCAUGCAAGCCAGACAGGACAGAAUGAUGGGCGAAAAUCAAGCCACGCACCUCAAACUCCUCUCGAGCUGAGAUCCAGAAAGACAGGGGCAUGGAAUUGCUGCUGGGUCUGGCAGGGGGCAAGAGCCAAACAGAUGAAGGGUACAUGUGACUGCCAUUCAGGGCCACGAUAGAGGAAAUGAUCAGAAGUCACUUUCUAGAGGCUGUAGAUGGGAGUUUGAUAAGGACCAUGGGGGACAGCUGAGAUCUGGGCAGAUUUGAGAAGGGAGAGCAGAACAGACUGCGUCAAAAGUGGAUCCGUGAGUUUCCUGGCGACCCAGGUAUAGAAGGGAUGCAGGAGUGGCCUGUACUUUCAGAAGCACAUGCAGGAGGAUGCUGGUCUGGGACUGGAGAUGAAAGAGGUCCAGAGAAAAUGGGACACGCUCAGACAGGGGAGCUGUGGGUGGAGUUCAGGACAAAGUCUGAUGUAAGGCUCAUGGAAGACCUUCCUGAAGGAAUUGCCCCUCUCCAGGAAGUAAGGAGGGUGGAUUUGUUUCCACAGUGGGAAUUCCUGGCAGGUCCAGAACUUCUUGACUUUCUGUCUCUCAAUACUGUAGACCUGCAAGAUGGAUAACAGAGGCAUUAGGGAAACUGAUGCCUACGCCACAAAGUUUAAAUACAGCACAAGGAAAGAAGCUACUUUGAUCCAGAAAACACUGCUAACCCCAUCCAAGACUGAGAUGGAGCAGGGCCCUAUGGGGUGAGAUAAGCGUCUGAGGAGCAGGCUGCAGGGAGGAAUGUUCCAGCUGCCACUGAAGCAACACACGAGGCUGAGGCUUGAAAGCUCAAAGGCCGAGGGAGCCGUAGCUUUGGGAAGGAGCAGCUGAUGGGGACGAUGGGUCACCUAAGCCGAGCUGUACCCUCGUCUGCUCCACCUCGAGUUUGAAUUCAACAAGUCUAUUGCUCCAGUGUUUUCUGAAUUAUCUGCAUAUUCAGAAUUCAGCCUGCGGAGCCUCAGCUCUUCUGAAUAUUUAAAUGACGCUCAGUUGCGAUCUGCAUCUCUCAUCAUGGUGUCUGACCCAAAGAUCACAAAGCUGAAGUCUAGCAAAUGACAGGAAGAACUAAGAGAAAGUGCUGCUGCAAAAAGAGUUUAAUGAGAGGGAAACUGAGGCUCUGAGAGAGGAGUGACUUGUCCAGGGUCCUGUGAUGGGAGACUGAGCAGAGUGGGAAUGAGACUGAGUUGGAGUGGAGUUGGCCUCCACUCUGUUUACUAAGAGCUGUGUGUCCCUAGGUAAGUCACUUUCCCUCUCUGGGCCUCAGGUUUUUUACCUGAUAGAUGGGCUUAGAGUCUCUUCUGCUGAUCCCCCAGGGUUGCAGGCAGCCAGUGAGGUUCUGAGUACUGUAGAGGGGAUGCUCUCAGCAGUAGUGGCGGUGGUAGGGAGUUGGGAUUGCAAACCCAGAGGCCAGCAGAGGCCAGGCAGGAACUGGAUUGAACUGGAAACUCAAGCUGUCCACUUGGGUCCAGUCAGGAUGGAUACUGAUAGAAGUGGGGGUCUCAUGUUGCCCACCUCAUGUUUAAGAAGAUUCUAGAAUUAUAGAUUAUUUGAUGUGAAAUUUCCUUAAAUGUAAAUGUUGGUAAAUAAAGUAACUAUUUAAACGAUAUACAUGCAAACACACAUUUGCACACACACGCCUUACACACAAUGGCUGGUCAGAUUUAGUGCAUAGCCAGCCAGCUGGUUUUCUGCUUUGGAAUUAUAGGCUGCUAAUUUUUUUAUUUUUUCUAGACAUGGUCUUGCUUUGUCACCCAGGCUGGAGUGCAGUGGCGUGAACACAGCUCAUUGCAGCCUUGACCUCCUGAGCCCAAACAGUCCUCCCAUCCCAGCCCAGCCCAGCAAAUAACUGGGAUGACUGGCAUGUACCACCAAGACUCACUAAUUGUUGUAUGUUUGUAGAGACGGGGUUUCACCAUGUUGCCCAGGCUGGUCUCAAACUCCAGAGCUCAGGAAAAACAUUAACAUCUGCCAUUUUUCUAAAUUGAAUGUGAAAGAUGAUCCUGACAGGCUGAACAAAGAUGCUUGCUCUCUGUUGUGAUGUUUGACAAGGGAAUCUUCCUUCAUUUUCUCCUCUGAUGAGCCUCUCUACCAGAUAAGCAGCAGCAGGAACCAAACGUUUAAGAAAAAUGUAAAGACAUUAUUUUGUCCAUCACUUAACAUUUUUAUGAACAAGUUGGGAGGUAGCCUGCAUGAAUGCCUCUGUGCAAUGGAAUGAAUGGCCGGAGAUCUCACCAUCCCAGGAUGACUUUGGGGAAGGAAGACCCAAACAGCCCACUAUCACAUGCUGUCCUGCCUGCCUCAGGCCUCCUGUCCUUCUCUCCCUUGUGACCUGCAAACUAACCUUGAGGACUCAUGUCAACUGUCACUGCAUUGGAAGCCCUCUGUGAUAGUUAAUAUUGAGUGUCAACUUGAUUGGAUUGAAGGAUGCAAAGUAUUGUUCCUGGGUGUGUCUGUGAGGGUGUGGC